UCCCUGGUGGCUCAAACGGUAAAGCAUCUGUCUGCAAUGCUGGAGACCCGGGUUCAAUUCCUGGUUUGGGAA
rnacentral:tRNA from 1 species